CCUUGAGACUCCUACGGGAGGCAGCAGUAGGGAAUCUUCCGCAAUGGACGCAAGUCUGACGGAGCAACGCCGCGUGAGUGAAGAAGGUUUUCGGAUCGUAAAACUCUGUUGUUAGAGAAGAACAAGUGCUAGAGUAACUGUUAGCGCCUUGACGGUAUCUAACCAGAAAGCCACGGCUAACUACGUGCCAGCAGCCGCGGUAAUACGUAGGUGGCAAGCGUUGUCCGGAUUUAUUGGGCGUAAAGCGAGCGCAGGCGGUUCCUUAAGUCUGAUGUGAAAGCCCCCGGCUCAACCGGGGAGGGUCAUAUGAAACUGGGGAACUUGAGUGCAGAAGAGGAGAGUGGAAUUCCAUUUGUAGCGGUGAAAUGCGUAGUGAUAUGGAGGAACACCAGUGGCGAAGGCGACUCUCUGGUCUGUAACUGACGCUGAGGCUCGAAAGCGUGGGUAGAAAACAGGAUUAGAAACCCCGGUAGUCC
rnacentral:rRNA from 1 species